rnacentral:rRNA from 1 species
GACGAACGCUGGCGGCGUGCUUAACACAUGCAAGUCGAGCGAUCGGCCAGGGAGGGGUAACCCUCUCUGAUACGGAGCGGCGAACGGGUGAGUAACACGUGGGCAACCUGCCCCAGGCUCUGGAAUAACCCCGGGAAACCGGGGCUAAUGCCGGAUACUCUCGUUGGGUCACAUGGCCUGACGAGGAAAGAACUUCGGCCUGGGAUGGGCCCGCGGCCUAUCAGCUUGUUGGUGGGGUAACGGCCUACCAAGGCGACGACGGGUAGCUGGCGGGAGAGCGUGGCCAGCCACACUGGGACUGGGACACGGCCCAGACUCCUACGGGAGGCAGCAGUGGGGAAUCUUGCGCAAUGGGCGAAAGCCUGACGCAGCGACGCCGCGUGGGGGAAGAAGGCCCUCGGGUUGUAAACCCCUUUCGGCAGGGAAGAAGCCGCAAGGUGACGGUACCUGCAGAAGAAGCCCCGGCCAACUACGUGCCAGCAGCCGCGGUAAGAC